rnacentral:misc_RNA from 1 species
UCCUUGCCAGUGCUCCAUCGUAUCGAGCGGUCGGUGGAGGUAGAUAGCGACUGGCGGGAGGCAGGUCCCGUUCUGUUCUGUGAACCAACGUCAACCCGACCUCCUGCGCUGCGGCGGCAACGAGAUCGGCGUUCCUCAAGAACGUACCGCGCACAGUAGAGUUACCUACGACAAGAAUCGACU